UGAGGCUAUUGUCUUGAGUUGAAGUUUUGAAUUCUUUAUUUUCAAUUUUCUUUCAUACCAUGGCAAGCAUAUCAUACGGUAUGGUUGUCAAUCUCGACUGGCAUCUUACUGCUGAGGGAGAGACUAUUCUACAAUAUUUUUACAAUCCUCAAACAAACGGCAGGAAGUUAUUUGGUCUACUAGAACGUCCAGCUGUUCCCUCUAACAUAGAGGAAGUCUGCUAUAAAUUAUUCUUUGUUGGCAAGUCAGGUGCCGGAAAAUCGGCAGCUAUUGCACGUCUGGCAGGAACAACAUUUAUGGCAACACAUGUGGAGUCUUAUGGUAUCAGGAAGACCAAUAUAUUUUGGCCAGUUAAAAUUUGGAACAAAAUAAUCCUGUUCGAGUUACAUUGUUGGGAGUCAAGUGACUCGAGCCUAAAGAAAUGUGGUCAUAUUCUUCCAGCAUGUAAAGACAAAGCAGAUGCCUUUGUGUAUGUUUUUUCUCAUUCCGAUGCGAGCAGUUUCCUGGACAUUCCACAGUUAAUGAAUAAACUAACAAAGGAUGAACCAGACCAUCCUGCAAAUAUUAUUAUAGGAACAAGGUACAGCGCAACUUCCAGCGCAACUUCCAAAAUGGAAGUUUCUCUAGCAGACACCAAACAGUUUGAGACUAAAUGGCAGAUACCGGUUCUCAAAAUGAACAAGCUUUCCCCAACGGAUCGUAAUGAAACCCACCAAAUGGCCCCUCUACUGAAUAUAAUUUGUGAGCAACUCUGGAUUCGUGAUCAAGAGUACAUUCUUAAGCAGGGUCUCACAUCCUAGAUUUUUAAAAAAUCAUUAAAUUUCUGCCUGUUGCAUCUAGUCAUCCACCAUCACUGAGGAAAAUACAUUAAUAAACCUAAAAAUAGAUGACACAAUUUAAAAAAGAACAUGCCAUGGAUGACCAGCUUGUAGGAGAAAGAAGCCUAUUCAUUUCAAAAGGACUACAUUUUGGUGAACAGUGGGUAAGUGCACAUAUGAACUUGUUUGUAGAUACGCGGUGAUUCAGAUGGAACCAGCUUGUGCUUUAUCUCUGCAAAAUGUAAAUCUCGGAUAAAGCAAAUACAUAGAUUAAAGAGGUAAACCAUUUGUUGGAAAGUAGCAAGAAACUGGUAGAUCACUUGAAUCUGUACAUGAGGUCUCACAGGCCCCUUUUUGCAGUUUCCAAAAAUGCAAUUAUUUCAAAGUUGAAGUUUCAUUUUUGGAGUCCCCAAACAAAAGUGGCAACCCUGCUACCCUAUUUACUCCGCAUCUGUGAAUGAAGAGUUUGACUAGAUACGAAGGUGGACUCUCAGCGUAGCAUGAGAUAUCCCUUACAUUGUGACUUCAAUUUUUAGAGCUUUCUUAGAGCUUUGGAACUUGAUUCGGUAAAAACCAAUGUCAUGCAUCAUUGGGUUUCUCAAGAAUUUUAAGCAAGAAAAUGUACUUAAAUAGCAAAUCCUUGACACAUGCAAGAGCUCUAUUCUCAGGACUUCUAUCAUUGAUCUUCGAAGUCUUUCUCUUCUUCUAAAAGUAAGACGCCUAAUAUGCAUCAUUUUAUCAAUUUGAUCAAUGUAUUUAUAUUCGGAUGGUAGGAAAUGGUGGUGGAUAGACUCUGAAGUGAAGGAGGCAAGAGAAUGGCUAUUGAUACUACAAAGAUACGCAAAUGACUCAGAAGAGGCCAAUGAAAGUUUUAAAAGUUUUCAAAGAAAAUACUUGACAUUAUUACAAAGAAAAAAGUCGGAGCAUAUUCAAAAAGCAAUCAACAAUAGUAAAAAUCCGUCAAAAACUCUGUGGGAUCAAGUGAAGAGAAACUCAAAUUUUAAAGAAAAAAGUAAAAAGAAUUUUAUUUUAAAUAGGAAUGAAAUACCACCGCAUGAAAUAAUGAAUGAAUACAAUAAAUUUUCAACGACGAUAAAAGAAAGGGUUACUCUCAUCAAAAGCAAUCUAGAUCCACUAGCAGUAGUACCUAGAAUAGAAAAUACAUGUGUACUACAUCCGACGGAUAUCUAUGAAGUGGAGACCAUUAUAAAUGAACUGAAAAAUAAAAGUUCAGUGGGUGAAGAUCAAAUCCCCAUCCAGAUAAUAAAAAAAUCAGUCAAACACACACGUGAAAUAAUAGCGAGAGUUUUCAAUCUCAUGAUAGAAUGUGGGCAGUACCCAUCUGCCUUAAAAAUUGCAAAAAUUAUUCCAAUCUACAAGAAAGGAGAACCCUCAGAGUACAGUAACUACAGGCCACUAGCACUGCUGCCUAAUUUCUCCAAAAUAUUUGAAAAAUUAAUUUAUAAAAGGGUAUAUAAGUUUCUAGAAAAACAUAGGAUCUUUUGCAGGAAGCAGUUUGGUUACAGGAAACACUGCUCAACGACGGAAGCUUUGUUUGAGAUAUUAGACGAAAUUACACAGGAUGAUUUACAACACCCAAAUCUAGCAGUGUUUUGUGAUCUAACAAAAGCGUUUGACUUAGUUGAUAGAGACUUGCUGUUAAAAAUUUUGGAGAAAGUAGGCAUAAGAGGAAAAGCGGGCAGUGUCUUACGGUCAUAUUUACAUCAGUGGCUUCAAUAUGCUGAAGUUAAAGUAGAAGGAAAAACGUACAUCUCAAUGAAAUUAUUAAACGAAUAUGGAGUUCCCCAGGGUAGUAUCUUAGGGCCGCUUUUAUUUAUAAUCUAUGUAAUGUAUGUAAAUAAUGUACUAAUGAGUGGCUCGGCUGUGGAUUAUGUAGAUGACAAAACAGUGGUUUUCAAACAACUAAAAAACGAGGAAGACUGGAAAUCAGUAAAGAAGGAUGUAAUUAAUCUAAGAGAACUAUAUUCAGCCAUGUCACAGUCAUUCAGCACGGAAAAAUCAGUAUACAUGCUAUUCGGCAAAAACGGAAAGCACGAAGUGAACUUGAUUCAAUGGAAAGACAGCCAACCACUGGGUGAAAUCGAAAGGGUGAAUAAACACAAAGUACUAGGACUAAUAAUACAGGAAAAUAUUGAAUGGAAUGAGCAUAUAGACGCGAUAGUAAAAAAACUAGGAUCCUACAGCUA